GAUGUUGGCUUAGAAGCAGCCAUGCAUUUAAAGAGUGCGUAACAGCUCACUGGUCGAGUGGACAUGCGCCGACAAUUCACGGGGCUAAGCGAUGCACCGAAGCGGCGGACUGAGAAUUCAGUGGUAGGGGAGCUCUCCGCGGGGGGCGAAGCAGCAGGGCGACCUGCUGUGGACCGCGCGGAGGUGAGAAUGCUGGCAUGAGUAACGAGACCAGGGCGAGAAACCCUGGCGCCGUGAGCCUAAGGGUUCCUGGGCGAGGCUAAUCCCCCCAGGGUCAGUCGGGAGCUAAGGCGAGGCCGAGAGGCGUAGCCGAUGCGCAGCGGGCAGACAUUCCCGCACCGCCGACGGCGCGGCAUUACCGAUGGGGCGACGGAGAAGGGUAGCCGGGCGGGGUUCUGGACGUCCCCGUGAAAGCGCGUAGGGCGCGCAGCGUGGAAAUCAGCUGCGCACGGGGCCUGAGACGCGAGACGAAGCGAGCGAGCGAAGCCGGUGAGCCCAUGCUUCCGAGAAAAACCUCUAGGGAGUGCCGUCGGCGCCCGUACCAAAACCGACACAGGUGGGCGGGUAGAACAUACCGAGGCGAUCGGGAGAACCACGGUUAAGGAACUCGGCAUACUGGCCCCGUAACUUCGGGAGAAGGGGCGCCGCCGGCUGUGAACGCCCUCGCGGCGGGAGCGGCUGGCGGCCGCAGCGAAACGGCCCAAGCGACUGUUUAUCAAAAACACAGGACUCUGCAAAGCGGUAACGCGACGUAUAGGGUCUGACGCCUGCCCGGUGCCGGAAGGUUACGCGGAUGCGUCAGCCGAAAGGCGAAGCGCUGAAGCCAAGCCCCGGUAAACGGCGGCCGUAACUAUAACGGUCCUAAGGUAGCGAAAUUCCUUGUCGGGUAAGUUCCGACCUGCACGAAUGGCGUAACGAUUUGGGCGCUGUCUCAACCGUGGACCCGGUGAAAUUGUACUGUUCGUGAAGAUGCGAACUACCCGCGGAAGGACGGAAAGACCCCGUGAACCUUUACUGCAGCUUGGCAUUGGCAUCUGGUACGGCGCGUAGAGGAUAGGCGGGAGCCUUUGAAGCGGGGGCGCAAGCCCCCGUGGAGGCGACCUUGGAAUACCGCCCUCGUCGUGCCGGCUGCCUAACGCGCGGCCGUGAUCCGGCGCGCGGACCGUGCCAGGCGGGUAGUUUGACUGGGGCGGUCGCCUCCCAAAACGUAACGGAGGCGCGCGAAAGGUCCGCUCAGGACGGUCGGCAACCGUCCCGAGAGCGCAAGAGUGCAAGCGGGCUUGACUGCGAGGGACACAACCCGAGCAGGUGCGAAAGCAGGUUCUAGUGAUCCGGCGGCCCAGAGUGGAAUGGCCGUCGCUCAACGGAUAAAAGGUACUCCGGGGAUAACAGGCUGAUCUUGCCCAAGAGUCCACAUCGACGGCAAGGUUUGGCACCUCGAUGUCGGCUCAUCGCAUCCUGGGGCUGUAGCAGGUCCCAAGGGUUGGGCUGUUCGCCCAUUAAAGCGGUACGCGAGCUGGGUUCAGAACGUCGUGAGACAGUUCGGUCCCUAUCCUCCGCGGGCGCAAGGGAGUUGAGGAGAUCUGCCCCUAGUACGAGAGGACCGGGGUGGACGGACCUCUGGUGACGCGGUUGUCGACCAACGGCACCGCCGCCUAGCUACGUCCGGCACGGAUAACCGCUGAAGGCAUCUAAGUGGGAAGCCGCCUCCGAGAUGAGCUCCCUUUCCGGUAAGGGCCCAGAUAGACUAUCUGGUCGAUAGGGCGCAGCUGCAAGCAGGGCGACCUGCUCAGGCGAGCGCUACUAAUAGCCCGAGCUCUUCUUCAU
rnacentral:rRNA from 1 species